rnacentral:misc_RNA from 1 species
AAGUCGUAACAAGGUCUCCGUUGGUGAACCAGCGGAGGGAUCAUUACAGAGUGUAAAAGCUCCCAACCCGUGUGAACCUUACCUCCCCCCGGAGGGUCCUUUUUGGGGCCCGAAGGGGCGUUGCUUCGGUCGCCUCUCGGGGCGGCCGGAGGUCCAAACUCUGAAUUCUAGCGUAUCUCUGAGGCCUAACGGCAACUAUAACAACUUUCAACAACGGAUCUCUUGGCUCUG